rnacentral:rRNA from 1 species
CGAACGGGUGAGUAAUGCGUGACCAACCUGCCCCAUGCUCCAGAAUAGCUCUUGGAAACGGGUGGUAAUGCUGGAUGCUCCAACUUGACGCAUGUCUUGUUGGGAAAGUGUUUAGUGGCAUGGGAUGGGGUCGCGUCCUAUCAGCUUGUAGGCGGGGUAAUGGCCCACCUAGGCUUCGACGGGUAGCCGGCCUGAGAGGGCGGACGGCCACAUUGGGACUGAGAUACGGCCCAGACUCCUAGGGAGGCAGCAGUU